GCUGGAAGCCCAGCCACUGGCGCAGCACGUGUCCCUGGCGGCUCACAUGCAUGUUAGUGAGCCACAAGAUGCAGGGAUGGAGAAGAAAGCCUUCGCCUACCAAUAGCUGCCUGCUAGGCACCAGGGGAUGGGCUGAUUUGCUCCAGAAUGAAUCCACAUCAGGAAUAGCAGUUACAAUUGAGGCCACCACCUGAUUAACUUUAUAGUAAUCUCUCAUUCUCCAGAUCUGCCUGUCUUCUGCGAAGGCCAAAUAGGCCAAGUGAGGACACCUUGAGAUGGUGGACCCCUGCUAGCCGGGAAGAAGACCCUCACGUGACCAUGCUGAUGCUCUGAUUGCAGACUUCCAACCUCCAGAACGUGCACGCCAGAGAGUGAUCAUGCCAGGAUGGACCUGAGCUGUUGCCAGCUAGGGGAGGAUGCCUGGCAGUGGUGUCAGGACACGCGUGGCCCAGAGACCCACUAAGACCAGUAGAAACCUUGAGCACUGAAGAGACGAUUUCUCCCUUCUUCCCCAGGUAUGUAAUUAAAAAUUAAAACUAUAGCAAAUCGUAAAAUAAGUAUAAGGUGGUCAGACAAAGCUCUUACUUUGCCUAGGCUGACAAAUUUUAUGCUUUGAGGGAAUGUUUAAUUAUCUCACAAAAAAAUAAUUUUUGGAUCCUUCUGCUUUAUUACUGGUGUUAAAAAUUAAAAUGGAGACCAGGCUUGAAGAAUUCCUGAGCAAACAAAGCCAGUUAAGCCACAGAGGCAACAUUGACCAUGCUUGAUUUGAAAACGUAAGUGAAACUUGGCUUGGGGUUAUUUCUUUUGUAAAUGUCUACAUUAAAGUAAAAUGAAACUUAAGUUCAGCCAGUCAGAAGCCACUAUCUAAUAGGUAACUAACUAGGAAAUUUCCAGUAGGAAAGACCAAAUAAGACAGCUGUAUAACUGUAACCAAUCAAAUAUUUCUUUCCUUUGCUUUAUGCUAUGGUUUGAAUGUGUUUCCCCAAGAACAUUUGUAGGAAACUUAACCCCCAAAGCAACAAUGUCAAGAGGUGGGACCUUUGGGAGGUGAUUAGACUAGGAGGGCUCCACCUUCAUGAAUGGAUUAAUGCUUGAGAUUGCAAGUUGGCUUGCUAGCCCUUCCACCCUCUGCCAUGGGGUGAUGCAGCAAGAAGGCCCGCGCCAGAUGCUGGCACCUUGAUAUUGGAUUUCCUAGUCUCCAUAACUGUGAGAAAUAAAUUUCUUUACUCUAUAAAUUAAUUACUCAGUCUGUGGUAUUCUGUGAAGCAACACAAAACUAAGACACUUUACCUUCAUGUGCACCCUAUAAAAGACUUCCUCUUGCAUCCCUUUGGCAGAGCCCAAACCAGCUUUGAUUUGGUGUUUCCUGAUGCACAAAUCACUGUUCAAAUAAACUCUUUAAAAUUUUAUUGUGCCUUAGUUUACCUUUAACUCUGGUCAAAUGCAUACUUUGUCUGACUGUUGGGUAAUUCAGCACUGGUUAAAGUAUUGUAAGUAAGGGAAAUACAUUUUCAUCUUGGAGCCCAAUUAAGCUCCCUUCCCAAAGGGGCAGAUGACCCCAACGAUGGCAGCUUGCUGUAAUGUGUGUUCCUGGAUCAGCAAUCUGUUGGGUUGCAAGGACAGGGAAGCUUGAUAAAGGAAAAGCAUACAUUACGGCAAGGUGUGAUUCCUGGGUAACAAAGACAACAGGCUGCCUGCAUUGCCUAGUGAGUAUUGAAGGGAGAAAACUUUGUAAAAAAAAUCAACUAAUAAAUGAUACUUAAGUCAAACAUUGAACAAAUUGCAUUAAAAAAGACCAAGAACUAUCUGCAAAUAAUAAUAAGGACUAGGAACCAAGAAAGCCAUCUGAGUGCGUUUGACGUGAGCCCAGAAUAGCUUGACAAACAUGCCCCUGAAAAGUGGCAAACAGGGGUUUCAGCAGAAUUGGAGUAGCUUACAUGGGAACAGGGGCGAUUCCUUUAGAUACUCUAGAAGAAAGGUUCCCACCAGUUCCUCAGGGACAAAAUACAGAUACGUACUCUAAAGCCAGCACUUCUCACACUUUCCUAUGACCAUCCUCUUAAGGACAGAGAAGUAGAAAAGGACUUCUGGGAGGUUAGGGAAAUAGUCCAAAGCAGCCUACUUUAAACUCCCUAAGCUCAAAUUUUCUUUGAAUCUGCACGCUUCAUUUAAAAAAAAGUGUGGAUUUUACAUUUUACUCCAUUAAUAUAUCUGCAAUUGUCUCAGCAUGAAAGUGUUUUUACAUUGUGUUAAUAUCACCACAUAAAAUAAUUCCUGUAAGUUCUGAUCUGUCCUGUGCACUUUGCCUAACUCAGCCUUCUACAGCAUAUCUCUGGGGAUAUAUUUACCCACAUUUGAGAAACAGCACCUUGAAUUAUGUAUAAUAAAAUGAAGAUGUUAACAUUUACAAA